rnacentral:rRNA from 1 species
UACGAAGGGGGCUAGCGUUGUUCGGAAUUACUGGGCGUAAAGCGCGCGCAGGCGGCUCUUCAAGUCAGGGGUGAAAGCCCAGAGCUCAACUCUGGAAUUGCCUUUGAGACUGUAGAGCUUGAGUACGGGAGAGGUGAGUGGAAUUCCCAGUGUAGAGGUGAAAUUCGUAGAGAUGUGGAGGAACACCGAUGGCGAAGGCAGCCCCCUGGGUCAAGAUUGACGCUCAUGCACGAAAGCGUGGGGAGCAAACAGG